UUCAUUGUGGCCGAACUUAAGGAGAGAGAGAAGAGAGCAAACUUUCAAAAAUCCUCUUGAUUUCCUUGCUUAAUUUGUGAAAAAAUCCAUGAUCAACCCUAAUUUACUCCAUAAAACCUUGAGUUAAUCUUGGAAUGAAACUUUUGGUGGAAUCAUUUGAGGAAAAAAGUUCUUAUCUUACAAUUUAUCGUGGGAUUUUGAGGAGUGGAGGCCGGAGCAAGUAAGCGUGAACUAGUGUAUAUCAUCUUCAUGUACUAGUGUGUAUAAUUUUCAUGUACUAGUGUGUAGAUGAAAUGUAUUUGGGAUAUUUAGUAAUGUAAUCCUAUAUUUCACUUUUAGAUUGUAAAUUAAGUGAGAAUUAUUAGUUGAAUUGGGAACUUUUAUGUUAAUCUAGAGACGUGAAAGACUAUUUCAAGAAUGUUAGUGAGUGAGUCCUGAUGAGAGUGAGACAGGCGGUCCGCCCAACUCUUGGAUUCGUCCUAGGGAGAGGUGGAGUCGUCACAAUGCACUAUUGAUAACAUUGAUUUUUUUAAAGUAUUAUGUAACCUUGGUGCUAGUGUAUCAGUAA